rnacentral:rRNA from 1 species
AUGCACGCUGGCGGCGUGCCUAAUACAUGCAAGUCGCGCGCACAGACGAGGAGCUUGCUCCUCUGACGUUAGCGGCGGACGGGUGAGUAACACGUGGAUAACCUACCUAUAAGACUGGGAUAACUUCGGGAAACCGGAGCUAAUACCGGAUAAUAUAUUGAACUGCAUGGUUCAAUAGUGAAAGACGGUUUUGCUGUCACUUAUAGAUGGAUCCGCGCCGCAUUAGCUAGUUGGUAAGGUAACGGCUUACCAAGGCAACGAUGCGUAGCCGACCUGAGAGGGUGAUCGGCCACACUGGAACUGAGACACGGUCCAGACUCCUACGGGAGGCAGCAGUAGGGAAUCUUCCGCAAUGGGCGAAAGCCUGACGGAGCAACGCCGCGUGAGUGAUGAAGGUCUUCGGAUCGUAAAACUCUGUUAUUAGGGAAGAACAAAUGUGUAAGUAACUAUGCACGUCUUGACGGUACCUAAUCAGAAAGCCACGGCUAACUACGUG